GAUGAACGCUGGCGGCGUGCCUAAUACAUGCAAGUCGAGCGGAAAGGCCUCUUCGGAGGUACUCGAGCGGCGGACGGCAGAGUAACGCGUAGGAACAUACCCCAAACUGAGGGGAUAACUGCCCGAAAGGGUGGCUAAUACCGCAUGUGAUCUUCGGAUUAAAGCUUCGGCGGUUUGGGAAUGGCCUGCGUUCGAUUAGCUAGUUGGUGAGGUAAAGGCUCACCAAGGCGACGAUCGAUAACUGGGUCUGAGAGGAUGAUCAGUCUGACUGGAACUGAGACACGGUCCAGACUCCUACGGGAGGCAGCAGUAGGGAAUUUUCCACAAUGGGCGAAAGCCUGA
rnacentral:rRNA from 1 species